GCGCUCGCUUCAGCAGCACAUACACUAAAACUGGAACUACACAGAGGUUAGCAUGGCCCCUGCCCAAGGAUGCCAUUGCAAAUUCCUGAAGCAUUCCAUAUUUUU
ensembl:snRNA Gm25634 U6 spliceosomal RNA